GACAGAGGGUGCAAACGUUGUUCGGAAUUACUGGGCGUAAAGCGCGUGUAGGCGGCUAUGCAAGUCGGGCGUGAAAUCCCACGGCUCAACCGUGGAAGUGCACUCGAAACUGCGUAGCUAGAGUCCUGGAGAGGAAGGUGGAAUGCUUGGUGUAGAGGUGAAAUUCGUAGAUAUCAAGCGGAACACCGGUGGCGAAGGCGGCCUUCUGGACAGUGACUGACGCUGAGACGCGAAAGCGUGGGGAGCAAACAGG
rnacentral:rRNA from 1 species